UACGAGGGGGGCAAGCGUUGUUCGGAAUUAUUGGGCGUAAAGGGUGCGUAGGCGGUUUGGUAAGUCUUAUGUGAAAUCUACAGGCUCAAUUUGUAGUCUGCAUGAGAAACUGCCGGGCUUGAGUAUGGGAGAGGUGAGUGGAAUUCCUGGUGUAGCGGUGAAAUGCGUAGAUAUCAGGAGGAACACCGGUGGUGUAAACGGCUUUCUGGACCAUAACUGACACUGAGGCACGAAAGCGUGGGUAGCAAACAGG
rnacentral:rRNA from 1 species